rnacentral:snRNA from 1 species
AUUGCUUCUCGGCCUUCUGGCUAAGAUCAAGUGUAGUGUAUGUUCUUAUCAGUUUAAAAUUGUACUCUUUAAAUCUGUAUUUUCACCCUUC